rnacentral:rRNA from 1 species
UACGUAGGGUGCAAGCGUUAAUCGGAAUUACUGGGCGUAAAGCGUGCGCAGGCGGUUUCGUAAGACAGAUGUGAAAGCCCCGGGCUCAACCUGGGAAGUGCAUUUGUGACUGCGAGACUAGAGUGUGUCAGAGGGAGGUGGAAUUCCACGUGUAGCAGUGAAAUGCGUAGAGAUGUGGAGGAACACCGAUGGCGAAGGCAGCCUCCUGGGAUAACACUGACGCUCAUGCACGAAAGCGUGGGGAGCAAACAGGAUUAGAUACCCUGGUAGUCCACGCCCUAAACGAUGUCUACUAGUUGUCGGGGAUUCGUUUCCUUGGUAACGCAGCUAACGCGUGAAGUAGACCGCCUGGGGAGUACGGCCGCAAGGUUAAA